rnacentral:tRNA from 1 species
AGCAUUACGCCGGUUUGAACGGGAAUCAUUGAUGUUGAUUAAUAUAUGGAUUUAAGUUUCUUUAAUGCUA